rnacentral:rRNA from 1 species
UACGUAGGGGGCUAGCGUUGUCCGGAUUUAUUGGGCGUAAAGAGCGUGUAGGCGGCCAGGUAGGUCUGCUGUGAAAACUCGAGGCUCAACCUCGAGACGUCGGCGGAAACCAUCUGGCUAGAGUCCGGAAGAGGAGAGUGGAAUUCCCAGUGUAGAGGUGAAAUUCGUAGAUAUUGGGAAGAACACCGGUGGCGAAGGCGGCGACCUGGUCCAUUACUGACGCUGAGGCGCGACAGCGUGGGGAGCAAACAGG